GAAGUUUUCGGAUGGAAGAGAGUUCAGCUUAGUGGCGAACGGGUGAGUAACACGUGAGCAACCUGCCUUUCAGUGGGGGACAACAUUUGGAAACGAAUGCUAAUACCGCAUAAGACCACAGUGUCGCAUGGCACAGGGGUCAAAGGAUUUAUCCGCUGAAAGAUGGGCUCGCGUCCGAUUAGCUAGAUGGUGAGGUAACGGCCCACCAUGGCGACGAUCGGUAGCCGGACUGAGAGGUUGAACGGCCACAUUGGGACUGAGACACGGCCCAGACUCCUACGGGAGGCAGCAGUGGGGAAUAUUGCACAAUGGGGGAAACCCUGAUGCAGCGACGCCGCGUGGAGGAAGAAGGUCUUCGGAUUGUAAACUCCUGUCCCAGGGGACGAUAAUGACGGUACCCUGGGAGGAAGCACCGGCUAACUACGUGCCAGCAGCCGCGGUAAAACGUAGGGUGCAAGCGUUGUCCGGAAUUACUGGGUGUAAAGGGAGCGCAGGCGGAUUGGCAAGUUGGGAGUGAAAUCUAUGGGCUCAACCCAUAAAUUGCUUUCAAAACUGUCAGUCUUGAGUGGUGUAGAGGUAGGCGGAAUUCCCGGUGUAGCGGUGGAAU
rnacentral:rRNA from 1 species